rnacentral:rRNA from 1 species
GUCUACGGCCAUACCACCCUGAAUGCACCCGAUCUCGUCUGAUAUCAGAAGCUAAGCAGGGUUGGGCCUGGUUAGUACUUGGAUGGGAGACAUUGCCCUUUUUUGCUCAGUUGUUCAUGUUAAGUCCCUUUAAACA